UUCCGGUUGAUCCCGCCGGAGGCUACCGCUAUUGGAGUUCGAUUAAGCCAUGCGAGUCGCGAGUCUUAGGGACUCGGCGUACCGCUCAGUAACACGUGGGUAACCUGCCCUAUGCUGGGGGAUAACCUCGGGAAACUGAGAAUAAUACCCCAUAGUUCACCACGCCUGGAACGGUGGGUGGAUCAAAGCUCCGGCGGCAUAGGAUGGGCCUGCGGCGUAUCAGGUUGUAGGGGGUGUAAUGUACCCUCUAGCCCUCUACGCGUACGGGUGUUGAGAGACAUCGCCCGGAGAUGGAUUCUGAGACACGAAUCCAGACCCUACGGGGUGCAGCAGGCGCGAAAACUUGGCAAUGCGAGAAAUCGUGACCAGGGAACUCCAAGUGCAUCGGGUAAGACCGAUGCUUUUCUUGACUCUUCAAAGGUCUUGGAAUAAGGGGUGGGUAAGGACGGUGCCAGCCGCCGCGGUAAUACCGGCGCCCCAAGUGGUAGUCGCUUUUAUUGGGCCUAAAACGUCCGUAGCCGGUCUGGUACAUUCGUGGGUAAAUCAACCAGCUCAACUGGUUGAAUUCUGCGAGCACGGCCAGACUUGGGACCGGGAGAGGUGUGGGGUACUCUCAGGGUAGGGGUAAAAUCCUGUCAUCCUGAGAGGACCACCUGUUGCGAAGGCGCCACACUAGAACGGAUCCGACGGUCAGGGACGAAGCCUAGGGGCACGAACCGGAUUAGAUACCCGGGUAGUCCUAGGUGUAAACGCUGUGGACUUGAUGUUGGGGGCGCUCCGAGCGCACUCAGUGUCGAAGCGAAGGUGAUAAGUCCACUGCCUGGGGAGUACGGUCGCAAGGCUGAAACUUAAAGGAAUUGGCGGGGGAGCACCGCAACCUGAGGAUUGUGCGGUUUAAUUGGAAUCAACGCCGGA
rnacentral:rRNA from 1 species